rnacentral:lncRNA from 1 species
AAGCGUAAAGAAGUAAUCUAAACAUGCGUACCUCAGAAGUUCGUUAGAAUCUCUUAUAUACCUGCGCACUUUCUCUCUCCAGGCAGUUACACAUCUGGACACGUGGCUCGCAUCCAGCUGUACACGUGUCACCAUCUGGAGCAUCCUUGACUUGGGCGCCACUUCUUACUCUUCAGGCUUUUGGCUAAGUUACUUAUGCAUGACACAACUCAGUGCAUAGCUGCCUUGAAGCGUGAUCUCUUCUGAGUGGCGAGUUCGGGUGCCUUCGUACACACCUUUCCUGUGGUCUCGCCGGCCGCCUUCAUGAUCUACUCUACCUGCUUCACCGUGUAUGUUCAGGUAAGCUGUCUCCCGACCUUAUCCUCUGGCUAGCUAGGAAAUGACUAUCUGACUUCAUCUUCGGCGAUGUCCUCGUUUCGGCGAUCUCUAAUCACUUGGUCGCCUGGGUUCACAUCUGGCGACUUCAUCUCAAACCCGGUGACCGCCGGUUUAGGUAUGCUAGAGAUCGGAGCACACCAACUUAAUAACUGGCGACUACACGAGCCCCCCG